rnacentral:misc_RNA from 1 species
GUUGUAUUUGGGUUUUGGUUGUAUGCUUGGCUCUUUAGCCCUGCGUGUGGCUGUUUCCCAGUGCGGCUUUGGGGAUGUCAAUCGUAAAGGUGCAUGAGUGGUGUUUGGUUUGACACGGGUGGUUGGCUCCUUGCUUGAGCAGGCACUUCCACGCGUACACUCCUUUUCAGUUGUGCGGCAAGGCUUGUAUCGUCUUGCUCGUAUACGUGGGUUUCCUGUGUUGCAUACCUGAUCAAUGGCAUCGUUUUGAUAAAAAGAAGUAACUUUUUCGUCGGGUGUUGCAUUUGCAAUGUCGGAUGAACCAUGCCAGCAUCCUCUUUGAUCCAUAUAGUCGAUGAGCAUUCAUUGAUUGUUUGGCCCGUUGAGGGUGGCUUGGUCUCUCGGAUAUGGAAGCCAAAGUGGGCAUGGGUUUGUAAGAUCCUUGUAUUGCCCUUCUUGAGCGUUCUCGCUUCUCUUAAACGACUGCCUUUCACGUAUGGCAUGUCCCAGCGUGUUUGGCUAYGUUGAAGAGGAAUGCUACCUGGUUGA